rnacentral:rRNA from 1 species
GGCCCUUCGGGGUACUCGAGCGGCGAACGGGUGAGUAACACGUGAGCAACCUGCCCCUGGCUCUGGGAUAGCCUCCGGAAACGGGGAUUAAUACCGGACAUUCACUUCCUUCCGCAUGGUUGGUGGUGGAAAGUUUUUCGGCCGGGGAGGGGCUCGCGGCCUAUCAGCUUGUUGGCGGGGUAACGGCCCACCAAGGCGACGACGGGUAGCCGGCCUGAGAGGGCGACCGGCCACACUGGGACUGAGACACGGCCCAGACUCCUACGGGAGGCAGCAGUGGGGAAUAUUGCGCAAUGGGCGGAAGCCUGACGCAGCGACGCCGCGUGGGGGAUGAAGGCCUUCGGGUUGUAAACCCCUUUCACCAGGAGCGAAUCCAGACGGUACCUGGGGAAGAAGCGCCGGCUAACUACGUGCCAGCAGCCGCGGUAAUACGUAGGGCGCAAGCGUUGUCCGGAAUUAUUGGGCGUAAAGAGCUCGUAGGCGGCCUGUCGCGUCCGCUGUGAAAUCCUGGGGCUUAACCCCGGGCCUGCAGUGGAUACGGGCUGGCUAGAGGCAGGCA